GAAAACACUUGGUAAACCAUUAAGGACUACCACGAAUGUUAGAACCCUGUGCAUAGACUGGAAGAAAAUGUAUAGAAUAGUUCUAUCCAAAGACUCUAUGUGAUGAUGGGAAUGUUCUAUCUAUGCUGCCCUGGGUGGCACUACUGAGUACCUGACAGGUGGCUAGUGCAAAGUGAGGAACUGAAGUUUUAAUUUUAUUUAAUUUUAAUUCAUUUAAAUUUAAACAGUUAUAUGAGGCUAACGCCUACCAUUUUGGACAGAGCAGGUCUAGAGACUUUCUAAGCCAACAAAUGACUUGCAAAAUCUGGUCAGUGAGAAUACAGCACAUACAGCUUGUGGGCCUGUUUUCUUCCCCCAUUGUGACUUUUCUAAAGGAAGACUUGUGUUAUUUAUGAGGCCCAGAAGUGAUGGAUUGAGUUCCAUUGAACAAUUAUUUCCUUCCUGGUUUAAAAAAGAACUAUGCAUUUUGUAAAACUGGGUUUUCUGAGACCUCAGAUUUCUCUUUGUAUGUACAUGUUCAAUUUAUCAGACAUGAAAUUAUGGAUUCAGUGGACUGUCUCACCCAACUGGCUAAUUUGCAUGAUUAAUUGAAGAGGCAUGCAAUGCAACUGUGCCCAGUUUCCUUAACCACACCGGGCACUGCUGAUUCAUCCACCUGGUGGAUGAGAACGACUUCAAACCUGAGGGCUUGUUGGCCACACUCUAUUUAUUCAAUGAUGUCAUCUGGCAAAUAUGCAACACAAAAUACAGCUUGAAUGGCACUAAGUUACUGGUGGUUAUAGCUAAACUUGACUAGAGAUAGACUUCAGUGUAUGCAAAAUUGUAUUAGAGCUUAUAGGAUAGCACGUAUUUCAUGCUGUUAUCAGAGUAGGGAGGUUGAUCUAGAUUUGCUUAUUCUUUUUAGUUGGUUUUUUUUUUUUUUUUUUUUUUUUUUUUUUUUUUUUUUGAGACGGAGUGUCGCUCUGUCACCCAGGAGGCUGGAGUGCAGUGUUGUGAUCUUGGCUCACUGCAAACUUCACUUCCUGGGUUCAAGCAAUUCUCCUGCCUCAGCCUCCUGAGUAGCUGGUAUUACAGGCACCCACCACCAUGCCCAGCUAAUUUUUGUAUUUGUAGUAGAGACGGGGUUUCACCAUGUUGGCCAGGUUGGACUUGAACUCCUGACCUCAGGUGAUCCGCCAGCCUCAGCCUCUCAAAGUGCUGGGAAUACAAUGAUAUAUGUUGAGUUGUGCUUUGUAAUAAAGCUAAUGGUCACUUCAGUGUUGACGGCAUCCCAUCC
rnacentral:lncRNA from 1 species